UGGGGAAUAUUGCACAAUGGGCGCAAGCCUGAUGCAGCCAUGCCGCGUGUGUGAAGAAGGCCUUCGGGUUGUAAAGCACUUUCAGCGGGGAGGAAGGCGAUAAGGCUAAUAACCUUGUCGAUUGACGUUACCCGCAGAAGAAGCACCGGCUAACUCCGUGCCAGCAGCCGCGGUAAUACGGAGGGUGCAAGCGUUAAUCGGAAUUACUGGGCGUAAAGCGCACGCAGGCGGUCUGUCAAGUCGGGUGUGAAAUCCCCGGGCUCAACCUGGGAACUGCAUUCGAAACUGGCAGGCUAGAGUCUUGUAGAGGUGGGUAGAAUGCCAGAUGUAGCGGUGAAAUGCGUAGAGAUCUGGAGGAAUACCGGUGGCGAAGGCGGCCCCCUGGACAAAGACUGACGCACAGGUGCGAAAGCGUGGAGAGCAAACAGG
rnacentral:rRNA from 1 species